rnacentral:rRNA from 1 species
AUGAACGCUAGCGGCAGGCUUAACACAUGCAAGUCGAGGGGUAUGAUUCUUCGGAAGCAGAGACCGGCGCACGGGUGCGUAACGCGUAUGCAAUCUACCUUUUACAGAGGGAUAGCCCAGAGAAAUUUGGAUUAAUACCUCAUAGUAUUAUGAAAUGGCAUCAUUUUAUAAUUAAAGUCACAACGGUAAAAGAUGAGCAUGCGUCCCAUUAGCUAGUUGGUAAGGUAACGGCUUACCAAGGCUACGAUGGGUAGGGG